rfam:Pan troglodytes isolate Yerkes chimp pedigree #C0471 (Clint) chromosome 17, whole genome shotgun sequence.
GCCGGGCGCGGUGGCUCACGCCUGUAAUCCCAGCUUCUGGGGAGGCCGAGGUGGGCGGAUCACCUGAGGUCAGGAGUUUGAGACCAGCCUGGCCAAGAUGGUGAGACCCCGUCUCAA